rnacentral:rRNA from 1 species
UACGGGGGGAGCAAGCGUUGUUCGGAUUUACUGGGCGUAAAGGGCGCGUAGGCGGCGUGACAAGUCACUUGUGAAAUCUCCGGGCUUAACUCGGAGCGGUCAAGUGAUACUGUCGUGCUAGAGUGCGGAAGGGGCUACUGGAAUUCUCGGUGUAGCGGUGAAAUGCGUAGAUAUCGAGAGGAACACCUGCGGCGAAGGCGGGUUGCUGGGCUGAUACUGACGCUGAGGCGCGAAAGCCAGGGGAGCGAACGGG